rnacentral:rRNA from 1 species
UACGAAGGGGGGCUAGCGUUGCUCGGAAUCACUGGGCGUAAAGGGUGCGUAGGCGGGUCUUUUAAGUCAGGGGUGAAAUCCUGGAGCUCAACUCCAGAACUGCCUUUGAUACUGGCGAUCUCGAGUCCGGGAGAGGUGAGUGGAACUGCGAGUGUAGAGGUGAAAUUCGUAGAUAUUCGCAAGAACACCAGUGGCGAAGGCGGCUCACUGGCCCGGUACUGACGCUGAGGUGCGAAAGCGUGGGGAGCAAACAGGG